ensembl:snRNA U5 U5 spliceosomal RNA
AGUAGCUCUCCCCAGCCAAUGCAACUGCUACGACAGCACUAAACAAAGCAUGGCAUAAAUCUUUCGCCUUUUACUAAAGAUUUCCGUGGAGGGGAACUUUUGCGAGUGAUCUGUAUUUUUGGGGGCUCUGCUCACAGCAGAGCU